UAUAAGUAACACAUUUAUUGCAGCCGGGUUACAGAAAGCAAGUUUGAACGCGUGCAGAUAAUUUGCUAUACACAUUUGUGUGAUUAUUAUUGUAUCGAAUGGAAUUGAUAUGUGAUAAAUACUUUUGUUUGAAGUUUAUUCAAUAUUCAUAUUCGUGUGUAGACAGUUACAUUUUACAUAUUUGAGUCGUGAAUUUGGUUCCUUAAUUCUGCUGUGUACGACCUACGUGAUUCUUUUGUAUGCAGCCGGCUUAGAAAUAUAUGUACUUUUCUGUUCAAUUGACUAAAUGUUUUUUUUUUGUUCAACAUUACGUACUUUCGUAUGGUGUAAAAAUUCCGUAGUGUUUUACAGUUUAAAGCAGUGUAAACACGUAAUCAAAAUACUUACUUUAAGUAUUUGAAAAAAAAAGUUGAAAAGGAUAAAAUCAUCUCUGCAACAGUGACGAGUUAAAAUUUGUGCAGUAAACCGACGAAAACCACGUGUAGCAAUUGAAUUGUAAACACGUGGUAGACUGUUAUGCUUUGGGACUCUUUCACUUGAUUGGAAAUCGGGCGUAACGAAGACAUCGCCACGUGUUGAAAAUUGCCUUCCAUAUAAGAUUCAACAAUUUGUCUUAAAUUUAUCCAUCCGAUUACAAUGAUUUCAUGGCGUAGCGGUAUGAUUGCUGGAUUGUAGACAUAAUAAUCGUAAGUUCAAGUCUCACAAUACGUGUGUCUUAUCUAUCCUUUUAAAUUUUUUUUUCUUUG